rnacentral:rRNA from 1 species
AGAGUUUGAUCAUGGCUCAGAAUCAACGCUGGCGGCGUGCCUAACACAUGCAAGUCGAACGAGAAAGUGGAGCAAUCCAUGAGUAAAGUGGCGACCGGGUGAGUAACACGUGACUAACCUACCUUCGAGUGGGGGAUAACAUCGGGAAACCGAUGCUAAUACCGCAUAACAUCGCAAGAUCAGAGCAGCAAUGCGCUGGAAGAGGGGGUCGCGGCUGAUUAGCUAGUUGGCGGGGUAACGGCCCACCAAGGCGAAGAUCGGUAUCCGGCCUGAGAGGGCGCACGGACACACUGGAACUGAAACACGGUCCAGACUCCUACGGGAGGCAGCAGUGGGGAAUUUUGCGCAAUGGGGGAAACCCUGACGCAGCAACGCCGCGUGGAGGAUGAAGCCCCUUGGGGCGUAAACUCCUUUCGACCAAGACGAUAAUGACGGUACUGGUGGAAGAAGCACCGGCUAACUCUGUGCCAGCAGCCGCGGUAAUACAGAGGGUGCGAGCGUUGUUCGGAAUUAUUGGGCGUAAAGGGCGCGUAGGCGGUGCCACAAGUCACUUGUGAAAUCUCCGGGCUUAACUCGGAGCCUGCAGGCGAAACUGUGGUGCUGGAGUAUGGGAGAGGUGCGUGGAAUUCCCGGUGUAGCGGUGAAAUGCGUAGAUAUCGGGGAGGAACACCUGUGGCGAAAGCGGCGCACUGGACCAUAACUGACGCUGAGGCGCGAAAGCUAGGGGAGCAAACAGGAUUAGAUACCCCAGUAGUCC